rnacentral:rRNA from 1 species
AUACGUAGGGGGCAAGCGUUAUCCGGAUUUACUGGGUGUAAAGGGAGCGUAGACGGAAGGCCAAGUCUGAUGUGAAAGCCCGCGGCUCAACUGCGGGACUGCAUUGGAAACUGGUCAUCUGGAGUGCAGGAGGGGUAAGCGGAAUUCCUAGUGUAGCGGUGAAAUGCGUAGAUAUUAGGAGGAACACCGGUGGCGAAGGCGGCUUACUGGACCGUAACUGACGUUGAGGCUCGAAGGCGUGGGGAGCAAACAGGAUUAGAUACCCUGGUAGUCCACGCGGUAAACGAUGAUCACUAGGUGUCCGUGGGUAUGACCCAUGGGUGCCGCAGCCAACGCAAUAAGUGAUCCACCUGGGGAGUACGUUCGCAAGAAUGAAACUCAAAGGAAUUGACGGGG